rnacentral:rRNA from 1 species
GACGAACGCUGGCGGCGUGCUUAACAUAUGCAAGUCGAACGGUACGGCCCUUCGGGGUACACGAAUGGCCAACGGGCGACUAACACUCGGGUUAUCUGCCCGCCACCUUGGGAUAAGCAUCGGAAACUGGGUCUACCUCCGGAUAGGACCACUGCCUUCAUGUGCUGUCGUGGCAAGCUCUUUCGGCGUGGGAUGGGCCCGCGGCCUAUCAGCUUGUUGGUGGGGUGAUGGACUACCACGGCGACGGCGGGGAGGCGGGCGGAGAGGGUGACCGGCCACACUGGGACUGAGAUACGGCCCAGACGCGUACGGGAGGCAGCAGUGGGGAAUAUUGCACAAUGGGCGCAAGCCUGAUGAAGCGACGCCGCGUGAGGGAUGCCGGCCUUCGGGUUGUAGGCCUCUUUCAGCACCGACGAAGCGCAAGUGACGGUAGGUGCAGAAGAAGGACCGGCCAACUACGUGCCAGCCGCCGCCGUAA